ACUUCCAGUCUUCACCCAUGGCAGUGUCAAUGAAGACUUUUUCUUGAAUUCAAGUAGACUUUAUCACAAUGAUCUCUCAUGCCUGCAUGCUCAGUGACUUUUUUUUCAAAGAACUCUAAUGCAUCUGAGAGGCACAAUUUCCUUCUACAAAAGCAGUGUUGAUCUUUCUGUAAAAAGAGAGGUCAUUAGAUUGUUGCCAGUAAGGGGCAUUCAAAAGCUGCAAAUUCAAUGGAGAUUAAAAAAUAAGAUUUAUCAAAACCCAGUUGUGAAACAGAAUUUUCGUCUUUGGUUACAGAGCUGUGGCUUUAUUAAACACACCAAAUAUUGGGUGAUUUUCAGACACUGACUGCAAAAUGGUUUGUUUUGUGAUUUAAUGGCAAACAUGUUUUGUAUGCAGACCUUAUUUGAAUGCCAAGUCUGAAAUUCUAGCACCAAGCUGUUUUCUAGUUGUUUAUCCUUCCGGCAGAAGUAGUGGCCACAUUAGUUUACACUUUCGUAAUUACCAUGUGUGUGAGAGGAUUUUUGCCAUAUAUAUGUAUAUAUUUACUCCCCUAAUUUUGUAUCUAUGAAGAGCUACGUGGGAUUACCUGUAAAAUCUGUGUCUGUUUAGCAGCUGUUAGAUAAGUAGCACUGUUUUUUCCAUGUUGUCUUUAAGUUAUCCUUGCUUUGGGGGAACUGCUGUGAGAAAUAGCCAUAAUUAAAUCCUUUGAUUUUCUUUUUCAGAAGUCAGGAGGUAUAUUGGUCCAUUCUCUCUCUAAUUCUGAUGACAUUUUACAGAAAAACAGGACUGAAAGAUACAGAUCAGAUCUACUUAUACUGAUUUUUAGCUGCUUGUCCUUCUGUUGAACUACUGACGUGGAGGUCAAAGACCUCAAUCGUCCUUUGAGCUGUCUGUCCCCUGUGGAUGGAACGACUCAUGCUGGUAUCAAUGACUGGCAUGCAGCGUAAUUUUUUAACGAGAGACUACUGUGAAAAACAAUCCUAUGGAAAUGCAUUCCAUGGUAGCGGAGUAGCAAUCAACAGCCCUGUCUCUCCCCACUGGGAGAUGACUAAUAUUCAGGUUAUUGCCAAACUGUUAAUACAACAUAAAAAGCAAACCCAUUCCAAGACACACGUAGAAAUCUCGGAUGAGCUUUCUCAUUAAAUUAAACUUUUAUAUAUAUGUAGGAAGCAGUUUUAAUUAUGUCUGUCCCUGGAAUCAUAAGCAAUGCCAUCAGGUUACCAUAACAUUUGGAGUGGAGAUGUACUCAGCAUUUCUGGCAUUCCUGUGUAUUGGCACGUGGCUGUCCAUGCUGUGCAUCAAGGCUGUGCUGGAGGAUAGGUGGCUGACUGGGUGGGUUGAGUAGUCAUUAUGCAAGCUAACUUGCUUCUGUGUCAGUUUGUCAAUAGAGGCAUUACAAAAAUCAGUAGUAAGCUGUUUGGGAACUGGGGCUUUGCCAGACUAGAAGAAUUAGCAGCUUCUUGAGUACUGGCAAUAGGAAUUGGGUCAUCUGAGGAAGUCGGACGUGUGCUCAACAAUAGAUGGUAGCUAUAGUUUAUUUAAUCAGAAGGUUUAAGAUGAUUGUGGGGAAAAGGAAGAGAGAGGAUGGCUGUUGUUGUGAAUGUACUUUUUGCAGAUACACAGAAAGCAUUAAUAUAUGUCUUUAGGGAACAAAUUGGCUGCCAACUCUGUCAUAAGCAUGAGAAUGUUGUUUGCUACCUGAAUUGUUCUCCUUUUUAGCUUCCUUAUUUUAGGCAACAUGUUUGUUUGAUGAAUUCUCUCUUACUUUGGAUACAUCUGAAGUGCCCCACUGACCUGCUCAGGUUUUGAAGAGGUGUAAAGUCUUUUUGGUGAAAUUGCUUCUGGUUUAUAAAGAGAAUAUAAAGAUACUAGUGUUGUAUUCUA